UAACCACUCAAGCAUAGCUUGGUAUUGGAGUUCGCGGUCUCGCGGCUCUUAAAAUUAGUGGCGGUGCCGUCUGGCUCUAAGCGUAGUAAUUCUCUCGCUAUAGGGUUCCGGUGGUUGCUUGCCAAAACCCCCAACUCUCAC
rnacentral:misc_RNA from 1 species